CCAUGCCAUGCCAUGCCGUACCGUGCUCGGGGCGGGAGCAGGGGCAGGUGCGGCGGAGGGAGCGUUCCCUCAGGCCUGCCGGCGGCCUGCAGCCAGCGGGGACCUGCUCUGCGCGGCCGGUGGCGGGGCGGGGCGCGGCGGGUGGCGCAGGUGCAGCUUUGCUGCCGUGCAGCCGGUGGCGGCGGCCCAGGCCGUGAGGGGAAUGGCGGGGGGGCGGCCAGGGCGGGCGGGCCCGGGCUCGGCGAGCUGGGCCCCUGCUGUGUUCCUUUCCCGCCUGGGCCCGCGGUGCGUGUGGCAGCGAGCCUCCCCCGUGGCCGCGCCGCCUCAGGCCGCCCCCCACCAGCGCCGAGCCCGCUCUCGUUAAGCUGAGGAGAGGCCGAGCCCGCGCUCCUGUGUUUAAGCCGAUGUAAAUACAAGCGCUUUUCCUCUUACGGGAUUGCUUUAUUUUCCAUGCUAGCGUUUUCGUUUUACGCAAAGGUGGCCUGUCACAAACGCUUUGUUUUCUGGCUGUUUCUGUGUGGCCUGUAACACUUAAAUGACCCGUAGAUACUUAAAAGCCUGGGUUCCCGUUACAAUGUAAUGUGAAUAUAAACAGUAAGCGCAGUAAUACAUUUAUCUUCACAUAAACGUUGUCUAUACUGAAACUUUAAAAUCGGUAUCCUCAUGUAAAAUCAGCAUUUUUGUAUUUAUUCGAUAUUUGAUCUAGUCUUUUUGUAUUGUUCAAAUAAUUUCCGUUGUCUUAAUGCAAUGGGCAGUGUGAGUGCAGCGGCCUCAGGCGGGUCUUGUCAGGGGAAUUGGGACCUAUUGGGGAUAUUCUGGGCCCUGAGCUGAGGAGCAGAAAUGGAUUUAGCUUGCAACAAUCCUUUUAGUUUUUUUUUUUUUUGCUUGUGUGUUGUUUGGUUUUGGUUGGUGGUUGUUGGCUUUUUUUUAAAUAGGCUCACUUGUAGUUUUUAAACCUUUUGCAUGCUACAAGACAGAACAACAAGGCAAAUAGAUCCCCUCUUUUCACAUCGUACAGUGAAUAAUCAUUACGUGUAGAACUUCCAUAGCUAUAGAACUUACAGACUGCUUGGAUGUCAAAUCCUUGACUUCAAAGGCUUUAAUAGCUGUGAUUCCAGUCUGUUCUAUUAGAGCCAAUAGGGAAAACCUUGAUUUAAUGGAUUUAGGAUUUCUGCCUGGUAAAUACCUUCAGUUAGGGUAAAUGUUUAGACAGAAAGAUAGUAAGGCUUGAGAAGGGUCUGAAGCAUGUGAAGGUGCUAACAAUAUAGAUAUAAAUUUAAUCAUAUAAAGGAGAAAACUUGAAAAAAGGGGGAUGUUUGUUGAAACAGUUUGGAAGUAUUGUUUUAUUUUCUAGGACAGGACAAGCUGUUACUAAAGAUGGAAGUUACUAUGGGGGCAAGUUUGUCAAAGGAGAAAUCAUAGGGAAUGGAUUUCAAUACUGGACAUGAACAGGUGAUCCUGUAACUAUUACAUUCCUUUAAAAAAUAAUAUCCAUAUCCCCUUUUGAUAUAUAAAUACAUAUCAUAAGCAGCCAAACUGGUUUAGUCCAAGUUGUCAGACUUCCAUGAUAUUUAUUGAAGAGUUAUAGUUUUCAUAUUUUCUUGUUGCCCUCUCUGGGUUAACCUUCAGUCAUCUCAGAAAGUUAAUCAAAUGCAUUAAUGGUAGAAACCAGAAACAUGUAUCACCAAUUUUUUAUAACAGUCUCAGUCCUUCAAAGAUGCUCAUAUAUGCAGAGUUGUGCUCAUGUGAAGUGCUUCACAAGAUCAAGCCAAAGAUGUUAAAGGAUUUAAAGAAUUUGAAUAAACAAUCCCUUAUGGAGAGGUGUCUCAUGCAUGAUUUGCCAGGGGAACGUUUCAGUGAAUUCACUCUCUUCUAACAUCCUGAGCAGAAAGAAGUUCUUCGAUUAAAGAUCUGUCCCAGGAACACUUAUUUCUGGUCAGUUUGUGUUUGGAAAGCUCCACGCAUGAAGUCUUGAAACAUAAAGAUGGUGGGAAAUACAAAGGAGAGUUCUGUGGAAUGAGAGAAGGAAUGAGGACAAUUAUGAAGGAGCCUGGAUUCUAGACGAGUGUCAAGGUCAUGGAAUAUUGCCUUGUGCUGCUGGAACAGUAUAUGAGGGGCAGUGGAGAAAUGACGUAUUCAAUGAACGGGGUGCUAUAGUUAAUUGUUCUGGUGACAUCUGUGAUGGACUGUGGAUCAAUGGCUACCCUGCUGCUUAUGGAAGCUUUGGAAGAAGCCAUGGUGGAGCAGGUGUUUGUGUGCAGCUCGUGAAGAGGACCACAUCAGAACAGACAUUUAUGCUGCAGCCCAUGGAAAGCCCAGGCAGAAGCAGGUGCUCCCGACAGGAGCUGUGCCUUGUGGAGGACCAGUACUGGAGCAGGGGAAAAAUGUGAGGAGGAAGGAGCAGGAGAGAGGGACUGUUAUGGACUGACUGCAACCCCUCCAUUCUUCCUCCCUCUGCAUCACUCAGGGGGAAGGUAGAGGAAUUGAGAAUGAAGGAGUGAGGCUGAGGCUGGGGAAAAAGAGCAUAAGAUGAGGGAGAAAGAUACUGUUUUCAUUUAUCUUAUAUUCUCACUUUCCAGGCCUAUCUUAAUUUGCAAUAAAUAAUUUUCCCUGAGGCCCAUGGUAGUAAUCAGUAAACAGUCUCCCUGUCUUAAUCUUGAUCCAUGAACCAUUUCAUCUUACUUUCUUCCCACUGUCCUGUUGAGGAGAGGGAGCUAGAGUGUAGUUGGGUAGGCAUCUGGCAGCCAGCCAUGGUCAACCCACCACAAAUGCUAUGAAAGGUUAAGAAAUAAAGCAGCAAUGGAUCAUUCCAUUCAAUCAAUUCUGAUUUGAUUGAGAUUUUCUUUCAGCUGAGUCAUAACUUUAAUAUUUCUUCUUAAUUUAACCCUUAAUUGUGGUCAUCAGCCAUUUACUUUCCUGCAUUUAAUGCUGCUGCCCAAAGCGGAGAGUUCUGUUCCCUUUUUGAGUAAAAGUACAGUAAGAGUGUUUUAUACUGUGACUUAAAUCUUUAGCUGAACUUGUAGCAUUGCGACACAGUAACAGUAAAAGGUGGUGAAUAUAUAGUUGUGACAUGCUAACUAUUUAUUUAUUGUUCUUUUGAUGAUCAGCUGUGAGUAGUCAUGGUGUGGAGAUCUGGGCUAGCAUCAGAAACCACCAAAUCCCAUGAAAUUCUGCUACUGACUUAGUUGAGGUAAUUGAAGAAACAGAGGAAAACAGUUAACUCCCACGUACGUAGUGUGGGGAAGAGCCAAUUUCAUUAUGUAUUUCCCUUGAUUAAUAUGUAUAUGGAGUAAUCUAAAACUGUGUAGUUAGUUUGCCAGCUACGUAAAUUACAGCAAAUGUGCAAGUACUAUACCCUAAAAAGAGUAACAAAUACCUUUUUUAGAUGCUGAGGUGUUUUUGUGGUAGUCAAAUACACUUUUAUAAUGUAAUAGUCAGCCUUUAAGAGUGCCAGUUGUUCACUGCCAUUCCCUGCCUCCAGCUGGUGGCUUCUGACUAUUCAAGGAAAGAUUCUCUAAUCAAGGAAAUACACCAAACUCUGUCUUCAAAAAUAGGACCAUAAAAAUCAUCCUUCUAAAUACAGAUUUGCAGUCCUAAAUUAAUAAUUGAUUUCUGAAAUUUUGAUCAAUCCACUGAAGUCUUUGGAAACUGCUGAAUGUGUUAGUACGUCUAAGAAACCAAGAACCUUUAAAUCUCACUGAAAUUUGUUUCAAAAAAUCUCACCCAAUAUUUGGGUUCUCAAUCUAUUUUUAUAGCAAUGAUUUUUUUCUUUUUUUCCCUGUCAAGAAUAAUACCUGAUGUUGGAUUUGUAAAUACUCAACAAAAAUUAUUUGAGGUACAGUACCAGAUGAAAUAGAAUCUACAGGGAAAUAUUUAUUUGAAGCUGUACAACUCGAUUCUUUUUUUAUUAGGGAAGUCACUGCUUUAAGUUUGUGCAGCCUUUGACAGAACUUGGAAAACACAAGGAGCAACUAAAUGAAUUACACAUCCCUAUUUGUCAGCUGUAUCUCCAGUUUGAUGAAAUCUAAUAGACUUAAGUUGUUGGAGAGGUAGUUCUCAAUAUUAUGUAUAAUGUGUGUUUUCUGCUUUAUACCCAGCUGUAAAUUGAAUAUAUUGAGUACCUAAUGGCUGUCAUGGUAAAUUUAUUCUUAUAUUUGGACUUAAUUAAGAUUUAAAAACCUAUCAGCACAAACAAACAAAAAUGUCCACACUAUUUUCUUUCACUGGAUUUGAGUGUAUAAGCUAUCUUUUGACAUACAUUGCAUCUGGAAACUGGGAACUGAAAUGUGCUGUUUCUGUCGUUAGCAAUUCUGGAUUUGCACUGGCUGAUUUACCAAUCCCUAAGGGAGAUAGAGCCAGAAUCUGGAUUUGACACCCUAUAUGGAGCAGGAGAUGCUUUGAGCAGCCAGCAUGAAAGGAGGCAAAAAGCCAAGUGGCAGAAUAUCUGCUGAGAAAGCUGAGAAGAUGACAGUCUCACAGGAGAAAAUGGAAGACAGCAGAUCUCAUGUGGCAUCCUAGGAAUACAAGCUACAGAAGGAUCAGCACCUCAUAAAGACUUCUAAGCCGUUGCAAGCUAGUGCCUUGCAGCCAGGAUGUGAAAACAUAGAUGACUUGUGCCCAGCAAAAUUUUUGGUUUUGCCAGAAUUUACCUAUAGCUCCAUGAGGAUCUGUGACAGUCAUCUAAAGUAUACAUCUUUUGUCAGAAACACUUGCGUUCAGGACAGUGGAGGAGGCAAACGAAAGACAGCAAAGUUUCUUCUCAGUUAAAAACACAACUCAUAAAACAAGACAACUACCAGGAAACUAAAGAGCAGAUGAAAUGAGAAGAUGUGACUUUACAAUCCCUACACUCACCAGUCGGAGUGCAAAUGGAAUGCAGCAGGGACUCAACAAAUGCGGAUUUUGUGAAUGUUGGAGGAUAAAAGCAUCGUAGGCACCGCAGAAAUUGUGCCCGUGAAUCGGUGUGCUUCCCUAGACACACAAGAAAGAAAAACUAAGUCACACGCUGCAGGUAAAAAAAAACGUGUCAGCAGUGCCUAUAUAAGAUGCUGAGAGGAAAAAUGAGCUGGAAGGCACGUCUGCAGCCCCAGAUCAAAUUUUCGCUUUAUGCUGAUAAGCUUGAGCGUGUAAGAGGCCAGGAAAUGAAGAGAAUUCUUUCUAAGGAAAAAAUCAACUUUGAAAAGCACUCUGAAAUUCUCAUACAACCACAUGACGGGAUUAAAAGUGUGAUGGCUUCCUAGAAGGCUGGAAAACUGAGAGAAGCAUAUCAAGAAACAGAAUGAACCAUUUUAUUAUUUUGGCUCCGUUGUGAUUCUGCAGACUUUGACGCAGGCUAGUACCUUAGCACAAAGUGAGAAAAGCAAGAAAACCACGGACUUCCAGGCGUCAGACCGGCAAAGUCGAGACUAAGCCUGCCUAGAGAACUGCGGUUUCGUCUGAAAUAAUAAGUGAUGAACGCAACGUGACAAACUUCCUGUGUGCAUUCCAAAUUAAAGGGCCACGCAGAAACCUCUGAGGUACUUGCUGAGUAAAGCAGCUGUCCCAGCCCCCGAGACACCAGCUGCCAUGCGGUCUGUUGCCCAAGCACAGCAGUACCGUGGCUGUACCACGUCUGCGGCUUCACCCCUGUCCUCGUGCUGCUGCGCUGCACCCUGCUGCUGCGACAGCAAGCCUAACUUAGGUACCACAGGACACCCCCGCUGAUCCUGCGAAUGUGCCAUGAGUGUCUUUUCUAAAGACAAACUUGCAGAAUAUUCAGCUAAUUGAAUUCUUUUGAGGUGAUUUUGUAUCAGGAAACCUUAUUUAUUGCCUUCCAAGGAAGAAACGUAUUAGGAGACUGAAACUCCACGUUGUCAAAAGCUUUCAUGCAUGUCAAAGGUGAGGGAGGGAACACCUGCAGGUGUGCAGAGCUGUUGCGUAUGGAUGGCGUUUCCUUUUACCUGCACUUGCUGCUGCCUUGCUUUUUUGUGCCCGAGUGGAAGUGAACUGCUGGCAACACCCAGAGCAGCAGGUCUCAAUCUGGUUGUUUAGUCUGGACACCUCUUAUCAGUGAGACAUCCUGUGAUGCUAGAGAGGAAGCCCACAUCAUUUCCUGCUUCUGGUCUCCUGGUUAGACAUGUCUCAUAGUGGUAUGAGUGGACCACUCCCCUUCCCGUUAUUGAGAGCCUGGGGUUAGAAGAAUGUCUGACUGCUCUUGCCCUUUCUUUUCCUCUGCCCCCCCACCCCUUAAAGUGACCGCCCCAAAUAUCUGCAGUUUGCGCUUUAGGUGUGCCACCACCUUCAUGGAGCAUGUGUGUUUAACGACAUCUGUGACAAAAAAAGUGGCUACAGUAACCGUGGUCUAGAAGAGUUUCCUUCACGUUAACUCAGCUACGUUUUAACACACAAACUAAUCCUGCAAGUGUACGACACCUGUGUGGUUGCAUGGUAACUGGUGUGUCGCAUCUAAGUCUCUUGGCAACCAGCCAACAGACUGCUCUGUCACAGUGUCUGGAAAACUCCAGGCUAAAACCUUAAGCUAAAUCGAAGGCGUGCUUCGCUCUGGGAACGGCCACUCUCACUGUCCAGGUUCUUAAUAGGAGCCACCACCCUGAGAUCUCAUAGCCCAGAGAGAGCCGUUGGCUGAUGUGAUAACGACAAGGAACCUAAAGGUACAAAGGAAGAAUCUCCUAAGUUGUUAAGAAGCUGUUGUUAGAAAGACAUGUUCCCCAUAAGCACAAAACUGUGGCUCACUGAAGGUCUGUCUCCUAAAUGGUUAAAUGAGAAACUAAAGUUGGACUUUUCCCCCCCCCCAGAAGCAGCACUUCCUCUGUCAGCGUCAAACCCUCACAGCAAAGAGUUUCUGUUAAUAACACUGCAGCCGGGUCAUGGGAAAUGCGCUCUCUUGACAAUCUCACUUCCCAGCCAGGCCAUUGUUAGCUCAGCCUUGCCUCUGGGCGCCUGCACACAUGCACCUUCUCUGUGUGUGGAACUGGAAACCCGCAGCUGCCCCAGUGGAAAAAUGACGGCCAGGUACCCUGUUCCCUCUCUCUCUGCCACGUUGCUUGAUGGAAUGCCUCCACACUCCAUUCCGCUUCAACUACUUCAUGUGAUUCCUGCUUUACGUUAAGUAUGCACUGCGUAUUUAGUGUAGGUAUUUAAAAAUUAACUUUGAAUAUGUACGGCUUGUAAAUAUUGUAAAUACAUAAAACAAGACACACAUUUACUGAAACACAAAGGAAAGAAAUUAUUUGCCAAAGGUGCCAGUUGCAAAGACAGCUCUCAGCCUCUCUUCUCCGGGCCCUGGACCUGCAGCUAGUGUGGAACGAGCCACCUGCACCCGAGAGGUACACGGCACAGAGAGUGCCUCGCUAUACUGCACCUCCUGCAGCCAUUUGAGCUGGCAAACUUUUCUUAAAACUUUAAUUGCCAUCCUAUUUAUGCACUUGAUACAAUCUCUCUCUCACCUCCUCCUGCCUGCUAGUAGGAGUCAACUACUGGGGCUUUGGGUGUUUUUAAACUGAGCGGUCAUACUGGACACAAAUCACACCUGUGAGCUCUGUCCUUUCCCCAAAGAAACAAAAUGCCUUGUGCCAGCUAACACGACUUGUAUACCUGCUUUCGAGCAACAGCACAAGUCCUGCUUUUCCAUCUCCCACGCUGGAUGAACCAAGGCCUUUCUUUUACAGUCAGCACCCCAGCUGCAGCUAACGGAUUGCACUUCUAGCUCCACAUACAAUAUUCAGAGGACAUGCAAAUCUUCUACAUCGGCUCUAGCUUUCAUUUCUACGUACUAUUGUUCACCCGCUGUUCUGUCCAGCCACUGCGGUCUGCAGAGAAGUACUGGCCGUUAGCAGCCUUUGUCUGACCGCUCUGUCUUUGGUACGACCGCUGUAUCAAGCCCUUCCAGAAACAAGGAGCUUCUCCACUGAAGGAAGCAAGAACGAUUCAGUGACGCGUGGCUAACGGAGUGCCUAACAAAGCGCUGGGGUUCAGCUCUUCACCAGAGCUUCUGCAAGUGCCGCUGCGUCCCAGGAAUGCCCUCCCUCAGCUAGGCAACGGCAGGAUUUCCACAGGUCUUUUAAAACUACAGAUAAAGCCUCCUAAGGGACAGACGAGUUUCUAGUUCAGCAAAAUGAAAACAAAAAGUCGGUGCUGGACUUUUUCAGAUUUUUUUCAGUAUUGAAGAGAUGUUGAUUUCGGUAACCAUGGAUUUAUACCCCAAGGCAAAAACAGGUGGCGAGCUUAAAAAUGUCAGAACGGUUCCUGUACGCUUUGGUUUCCCGGCUGAAUUUACAAACAGUACCCCAGUCAAGGCUGUUACUAUUUGGGAAAGAUGAGGCAAUUCUUUUUUACAUGAGACUACCUAAUGGUUUCUACCUGGAAAAGUAUUUGCAGACAGCGGUAGAGAAGGCGGUUUUGCAA